rnacentral:Y_RNA from 1 species
GGCUGGUCCAAAGGUAGUGAGUUAUCUCACUUGAUUGUUCACAGUCAGUUACAGAUUGAACUCCUUGUUCUAUUACUCUCCCCUCUUCUCACUACUGCACUUGACUAGUCUUAA